GAAAGCCGUAUUCGAUGAAAGUCGUAUGUACGGCUUGGAGGGAGAUCUUUCCUNCAUAGAUCCCUAU
rfam:Triticum aestivum genome assembly, contig: Triticum_aestivum_CS42_TGACv1_scaffold_460938_5DS